UGUUAAUGCCCUUAGAUUCUCUUGAGCAGUGGUGGGUGUUCGGAAUAAAAAAAAAAUGUACUUUUGACGUUUGGGUUAAUUUUUUUUCUUCUAAAAAUAGCCUAAUAACAAUAUGCAGACGACUGUGUUAAAACUAAAUAUAAUGAAACAUAACCUUUUUUCCUUAUUAUGACACAAGAACAUUCUGUUUGAAAGAUGAAAGACUAAUUUCUAAAAAGAAGCCACUAACUAGAUUCACACGACUGCGGUAAAACUUUAUAUAAUAAAACAUAACCUUUUUUUCUUAUUAUGACACAUGAGCAUUCUGUUUAAAAGAUGAAAGACUAAUUAAAUACUGUUUAUAAUAAGGUCAUUUAAGAAAGUUCCCAUUUUACCAAACCUGAGUAUCUGACAGUUACACUAUUCCGCUUAUCAAUGAGUGUGAUUACUGUGGAUAAUUUUACCAUGGCUAACGAGUUAAUAAUCCGGUACUAUGUCUGUUAUUCCUGGUAUAUAUAGCAUGUACACUAUCCUCCGACCAGAAUGAUACUCUCUAACCUUAGGGACCCGGCACUAAUCAUUUAAUGGUGUUAAGACAACCCUACUAAUUAUGUCCAGAUAGCUAGAGCAGCGCCACUAAUCAAAUCGGUUUAACACAGGGUAGGUAACUCUUAAUGUGUGAAUAAAAGACAAUAGAAAUAUGUAAACGUCUAUAAACGAGUCGGUGCUCGUACUGGGGUUAGACGUAACCAAUACACAUAGAUUUUAUGCGUCGAUAAAAGUGUGGUGCAGGUACAGUCGUAUGCGUGUCGCGUGACAUUCUCCUAAGUGAUAACAAACUAGUUACUCAUUCACCCGAAUACCUAGGGUUGGGCCAAGUAAUAUAGGUAUUUAAAUCAAAUCGAUCAAAAGGAAUAUGUACUUAUCACUUCAAAAUCAAAUCCCGUGUAAAAUACAUUGGUAUAUAAAUCGUCUAAUAUAUAUAUACUUAUUGUCGGUCUGACAAGCCGAAGAAAUAAUAUGGGGAGCCGAGGGGCCCAGCGUGGGGUAUAAUCCUCAUAGAAUGUUUCCAAGGGAUAUAUAGUUGUAAUAUAAUUUAUUUUAUAAAUUUAUGAAUAAUUAAUAUAACACGACUGGAAGCCAGUGUUCGGGUUAGUGAUUUUGUGAAGCUACUAGCAGUUUCAUUUUUCGUGUGGUGUCAUAUUUAAACUGACACUCGCUAUUAUUUGCACAUGUAGAUAAAAGUUAUAUAUAGCAUUAUAUACCUGUUCGCACUGCCGAACACAAAAGGUGACUGUUUCUCAUGUCGGAGUCUGCCUCGCUGUCACUGGAGCAUAAAUCACGUGAUGUCUAAUGACGCUGUUGUGAGGAUAUCGUUGAAUACAGACGACAUUAUAUUUGCUGCUCAACAAAUUAUCUCUCAGACGACAAGUGAAUUUUUACCGACACUUAUUGGUGUUACAACGCUGGUGUUUGUGGUGAUUGCUGCUGCAUCUUUCUGUGGAUCAUUCCUAAGUUUGUGUUUAUACAAAAGGUAUACAUGUUGUUGUCCAGCACCGCGGCGACGUUAUAGACACCGCGAUGAAGAAGAAGACGACGACGAUGAGGACAAUCCAGAUCGUCCCCGACCACCUAGAUACAAUGCAAAUUCAUAUCCACAAAACGAAACGUUCUUAUGAGAAUAUACAACAUCUCUACAAAACCAAACUUCAUUGUUUAUGAUGUUGCUGUGUAUGUGGUAGUAUGAGUUAGAACAGAAGAGGAGCGUAUAUCUGAUGAUUUACAUUUGUGUUCUGUGUGUAACAAAGUGGAUGUCGAUAACUGAUGAAAAAACCACCGUCAUUUUGGAAUUCUGAAUUCUGAGGAACAUUUUGAUAGAUGUCGUGACGUUGCUGUGUGGACGAAUACAUCGCUCCCUCAUUGCUUGGAUGUCUGAAUAAAAACUUUUUGAGAGAGAGAGAGAGAGAGAGAGAGAGAGAGAGAGAGAGAGAGAGAGAGAGCUAUAUAUUUAUAUAAGUAAUUAGUACAGUUUAGAAUUAUUUUCGAGUCCGAUAACUCAAGUUAUUGAACGAGUUCGAACGAUUCCAUAUGCCAAUGAUUCGUGUGUAAGAUUUCAUUUAUCACAUAAUUCAUACAUAUAAUUAGUAAAAUCUUCACACUUAUUUCCCCACCUGACGAAAAACAUUCACUGCCGGGGCAAUCGGUGAUGUCUUUUAUUGAUGACGUCACACUAGUGUUAUUACACAUCACCUCUGAAAUCCAAGGGUUGGCUUCUCGAUUGGUUAUCUCGCCUUACGUGAACACAGCCACUUGAAUUUCAUAGAUGAUUAAACAUAUGUGCCAUGCUUUAUCUAUGGCAUGAGCGUAUUACACGGCGGAGGGACCGAACUACAGUAAAUCACUUAAAUUUUACGAAUACUUUAUUUCGCGAACUUUCCUCUUCCCACGGGAAAUUGACUCUCAUCGCCUGUUAUCGCGAAAAUGAAUUGCACGCGAAAUGUAAGUGAUUAACCGUAUAUUACAAAUCAUCAUACGUUUAUGCCAAUCUCGAACAUACCAAAGUCAGUUUUCCCUUGUUGACCUGUAAAUGAAUUUAAGGAUAUAAUUGUUAUGUUAUUUUUGCGAAAAAAUCUUUUAUGUAGCGAUUGUCAUGAUGGAUGUUUUAAAUAUUCAAAGUUGGAUGAAUGUGAAUGUGAAAUUCAGUAUCAGCCACCGACAGGGAGGAAUUGAUCCUCCUCGUCUUAAAGCAUUAUUGGUAAUACUGGAUGGGAUUUAUGUGUUUUCGCACAGAGGUCUGACCAUAUAUCCGAGACUGAUGUAAUCUUAAAUGGGCCUGUACCCUGGAGUGGACCGUGGAGUGGACCGUGGAGUAGUAUAUCGUCACCCUCGUGUAAGUGUUGGGCUGACCAGAACCAGGCUUUCCUGUCGAUACUGGCCAGUCAAACUCUUACGUGAGAGAUGAGUUAUUCCUGCCCAUGGUACAGACCCGUAUUUGACUAUACUUCUCACAUAUUUAAAGUAGGUUACUGCUGUGAUUUCAUUCCUCGCGCAAUCACCAAUGCCCUAUGAAAUGUGUGUUGAAAUCGAUGACGUUAUCAAAAUGAGACAUUGUAAGGGUACAUCAAAUGAUGACGCUAUUGUGAGUAGCGAACCAGCUCUCUUUCCCCACCCUUGUGAGAUUGGUUAUCUUUUCCAUAGCAACCGCGGGAUUACCCUGACAAGUAUGUGAGAAUAUUAUUUCUCACACGGGGGUAAAGACAGCUGGCAGGCGCUAUAUGACGCUGCUCACAAAAACGUAACGUCAUCAUUUUACGUUGAGUAGCCAUGUCGUAAAUGAUGACGUCAUUAAUUUUGACGCACAUUCCAGGAAGUAUUGCAGAUGGCGCGAUGAAAAACUUUCAUAAAAGGUUUUAUUUGCUUGCAAGUAUCCGAGAAAAACAGGGGUCUGUUCCGCGAACAAGGAUAUCUGAACCCUCGUGUGAGAGUUUGGCUGGCCCGCACAAGGUUUGACUGGCCAAACUCUUACACUCGGGUUGAUAUAUCUCUUUUCACGGAACAGACCCAUGUUAGAUUCUAUUAUUCCACUCUUUAACCUGCAUCUGCCAAAUAUUCCAUCAUGCGAACAAUGUUGAUGUAAUUGCUGAUAUUUGUGUUGUGCAAUUUUCCUGAUACCACCAACUAUUUAGAAUGUAUGUUAUGUAAAUAUCAUAUAUGUUGUUCACCUGAGGGCUGAUAAUGGAUAUGAUAGGAUCAUAUGAUCGUAUUAUCAUGAUAUUUUUAUCAUUGGUAAGUACUCAAUGUCAUUUAUAUUUACAUAUUUAUCUAAUAUGAUAAAAUAUAUACAUGUAUCGAUGCCAAGAAUAAGUUUAUUGCUGUAACAUGUUAUAAACGAGUCUUUUAACUAGUCAAUAACCAGACAAUGAAAGAUAAUU